GGGUGCGUAACGCGUAUGCAAUCUACCUUGUACAGAGGGAUAGCCCAGAGAAAUUUGGAUUAAUACCUCAUAGUGUUAUUGAAUGGCAUCAUUUGAUAACUAAAGUUCCAACGGUACAAGAUGAGCAUGCGUCCCAUUAGUUAGUUGGUAAGGUAACGGCUUACCAAGACAAUGAUGGGUAGGGGUCCUGAGAGGGAGAUCCCCCACACUGGUACUGAGACACGGACCAGACUCCUACGGGAGGCAGCAGUGAGGAAUAUUGGACAAUGGGCGCAAGCCUGAUCCAGCCAUGCCGCGUGCAGGAUGACUGCCCUAUGGGUUGUAAACUGCUUUUAUACAGGAAGAAACACUGCUACGUGUAGCAGCUUGACGGUACUGUAGGAAUAAGGAUCGGCUAACUCCGUGCCAGCAGCCGCGGUAAUACGGAGGAUCCAAGCGUUAUCCGGAAUCAUUGGGUUUAAAGGGUCCGUAGGCGGCCUUAUAAGUCAGUGGUGAAAUCUCCUAGCUCAACUAGGAAACUGCCAUUGAUACUGUAGGGCUUGAAUUUUUAGGAAGUAACUAGAAUAUGUAGUGUAGCGGUGAAAUGCUUAGAUAUUACAUGGAAUACCAAUUGCGAAGGCAGGUUACUACUAAUGGAUUGACGCUGAUGGACGAAAGCGUGGGUAGCGAACAGGAUUAGAUACCCUGGUAGUCCACGCCGUAAACGAUGGAUACUAGCUGUUCGGUCUUCGGACUGAGUGGCUAAGCGAAAGUGAUAAGUAUCCCACCUGGGGAGUA
rnacentral:rRNA from 1 species